CAGCAGUUGGGAAUUUCACAAUGGGGGAAAGCCUGAUCCAGCAAUGCCGCGUGAAUGAUGAAGCCCUUAGGGUUGUAAAGUAAUAUUAGUUUUCAAGAAACAACCCUGUUCCCGCCUAGGUAUGACGGUACCUCAAGAAUAAGCACCGGCUAACUACGUG
rnacentral:rRNA from 1 species